GGUCGGGGCCCGGAGACCGGAGCCCGUGAACCCCGCCAGGUCCGAGAGGAAGCAACGGUAGCGUCCGUUUCGGGGCUCCGGUGUCCCCGGCUCUC
rnacentral:SRP_RNA from 1 species